rnacentral:rRNA from 1 species
UGGGGAAUCUUGCGCAAUGGGCGAAAGCCUGACACAGCAACGCCGCGUGAGCGAAGAAGGCCUUCGGGUUGUAAAGCUCUGUCAGGGGGAAAGAAGGCACCUGGGUUAAUAGCCCAAGGGCUGACGGUACCCCCAGAGGAAGCCACGGCUAACUACGUGCCAGCAGCCGCGGUAAUACGUAGGUGGCGAGCGUUGUCCGGAAUCAUUGGGCGUAAAGAGCGCGUAGGUGGCUUGUCAGGUCUGAUGUGAAAACCUGGGGCUCAACCCCAGGCCUGCAUCGGAAACCGGCUUGAUAGAGGCUGGGAGAGGAGAGUGGAAUUCCGGGUGUAGCGGUGAAAUGCGUAGAUAUCAGGAGGAACACCGGUAGCGAAGGCGGCUCUCUGGAACAGUACUGACGCUGAGGCGCGAAAGCUAGGGGAGCGAACAG